rnacentral:rRNA from 1 species
CCAAUAGCGUAUAUUAAAGUUGCUGCAGUUAAAAAGCUCGUAGUUGAAUUUCGGGACCAUCAUGUCGGUCGUGCCUCGGUACGUACUGGCAUUGUUGGUUUCUCCCUUCUGACGAACCAUGAUGUCAUUUAUUUGGUGUUGUGGGGAAUCAGGACUGUUACUUUGAGAAAAUUAGAGUGUUUAAAGCAGGCUCACGCUUGAAUACAUUAGCAUGGAAUAAUGAAAUAGGACGUUUGAUUCUAUUUUGUUGGUUUCUAGGAUCGACGUAAUGAUUAAUAGGGAUAGUUGGGGGCAUUAGUAUUAAAUUGUCAGUGGUGAAAUUCUUGGAUUUAUUGAAGACUAACUACUGCGAAAGCAUUUGCCAAGGAUGUUUUCAUUAAUCAAGAACGAAAGUUAGGGGAUCGAAGACGAUCAGAUACCGUCGUAGUCUUAACCAUAAACUAUGCCGACUAGGGAUCGGAUGAUGUUAAUUUUUUAAUGACUCAUUCGGCGCCUUACG